rnacentral:rRNA from 1 species
UACGUAGGGGGCAAGCGUUGUCCGGAUUCAUUGGGCGUAAAGAGCGCGUAGGCGGCCGAGUAAGUCCGACGUGAAAUCUGGAGGCUCAACCUCCAGCGGUCGUUGGAAACUACUCGGCUAGAGUCCGGAAGAGGAGAGUGGAAUUCCUGGUGUAGCGGUGAAAUGCGCAGAUAUCAGGAAGAACACCGAUGGCGAAAGCAGCUCUCUGGGACGGUACUGACGCUGAGGCGCGAAAGCGUGGGGAGCGAACAGG